GGACAGCUCAGAAUUAAAUAAAAGGAGAGCCUGGGGAUGUGGCUGAAAAAGCUCCCCGAGUUUGGAUCCCGAAUUAAAAAGAAAAGAACUAUUCUCUCCAAUAUUUCACUAGAUGAAAAGUGACAAUCAGCGGACGGUGUCCAUUUGGACCGAGUGGGAAGAACGGACGUCUGGCCGAGCUGUGAGGUGGAGGGAAGGUGGGUUUAGAGGCAGGAGGCGCCUGCAAUUUGGGGGACCUACAGCAGGAGCUCCCCUGGGAGGAGGAAGGUGCAUUUGUGGCCCUGCUUCCUCCACGUUGGGAAGAGUGGGUCGGGCCACCAGUAGGGAGCAAAGGGGACACCAGGGCCCUGAGCCGCCCUUCCAAACCCAGGGAACCAGGGGACAGGGCCCAGGGCCACCCGCCAGCGCGGACUCCUCCACCCUCUGCAGCUCACCCGCGUGCCAGGCCCCGAGGCAGGUGCUGACUGCGCACCUUCAGCCCUGGCCGCAAACUCACCAUUUUAGGCUUCCGUGGUGACCCGGCGUCCUCUGAGGAACCGCCCAUCACCCAAGAUCGCGGGGUUCACAGGGAGUGAGAGUCACGGGUUUCCCUGACAAGAGAAGUCAGGCGCCAGAGAAGGAGUAGCCCAGUCGCUGAGGAAGAAAAGCCCUGUGCGCACUGAUUGGACAGUUCCUCUAAGGUCUCUGAUGGAUGGCCUCCAGGCCCGCCUCUGCAUCGUGACUGACAGCUGACAGCAUCCAAUCACUGGCUGAAAUUGGGUUAGUGACAGAUUCUUGGCCCCAGCCCUUUUCAGGCGGAGCUUCCCCGCUGUGCAGGGAACUAAUCCGGUUGAAAGCCUUGGCUUAGCCUCUGGUAUGGAGGUGACAUGUGGCUCUGCUAUAUGUGUGCAACAGCCACAGAGUGCUUUCUGAGCAUGGCGAGGCCCUGGGUUUAACCUCAACACAAAAAUAAACCAUA
rnacentral:lncRNA from 1 species